rnacentral:lncRNA from 1 species
AGAACACUUUGAUUUCUUUUCAAUCAUAGUUUAAGCUAGGAUUGGAAUUUUGAGCUGAAAGCUAAUUCCUGAGUAGCAUUAAAUUUCCUACCUCCUUGCAGGGAAAGGCCACAAUAUUCUUAAAUUUUAACUUGUGGGCGAAAAAUUGCAAAGCUAAAAUGGGUUUUGAGGAAACAAAAAAUCAAGAAACAAUGAAACAGAAAAAAUAUUAGGUGGAGCUACAGAUCUACAAGUAUUGAAAUCCAAGGACAGAAGAAGAGUGGCUUAUGGAUGAUACAAUAGAGAAAAGGAAACAAAAUACAGAGGCAACAGGACUAUUUUUGCUGUAACCUGGGGAUCUUGCCCAUUUCAAAUGAGCCAAACUAAAGUUAGAUGUGUUUAUGCCCUGGGAAAAGUGAAAGGUGACUCACGGCCAAUAUGGAAGGAGGAUGGUGGUUUUAUGCCCAGUUUCCCCAUCGUCUGGUGAGAUAUUCUGAAGCAGGCUACAAUAGGGUUUCUCAGAGUGUUCUCAGUUCAUUUGAAUUCCAGAUUUUCAUAGUGGUA